GUGCCAGCCGCCGCGGUAAUACGGAGGGUGCGAGCGUUAAUCGGAAUUACUGGGCGUAAAGCGCAUGCAGGUGGUUUGUUAAGUCAGAUGUGAAAGCCCGGGGCUCAACCUCGGAAUUGCAUUUGAAACUGGUUCACUAGAGUACUGUAGAGGGGGGUAGAAUUUCAGGUGUAGCGGUGAAAUGCGUAGAGAUCUGAAGGAAUACCGGUGGCGAAGGCGGCCCCCUGGACAGAUACUGACACUCAGAUGCGAAAGCGUGGGGAGCAAACAGGAUUAGAUACCCCCGUAGUCC
rnacentral:rRNA from 1 species